rnacentral:lncRNA from 1 species
UGAAAUCUCAAAAGCUGCUCUUGGCGGUUCGUUAAGAUCGGAUAAUAUGCAAGGACCUUUGAAUCUGCUAUUGCCGUGCUCAUGGUUAUUAGCCAGAACCUAAAAUUUUAGCACAACUUUAUUAUAACUAGCCACAGCUUUGUCUUAACGGAUAUAUAUUAUUACUACAAAACAGAGGAGUUUGAAAAAAAAAAAGAAAAAAAAAGGAGUUUGAACAAAAAGGACUUUGAGAUUUGCGUGACAGCAUACCAUGUUUGGUCCGGUCGAAGGACAACAAGAGGAUGAGGAAGAUGAAGAAGGCUCCUUGCUCUGAUAGGACACACCGUGAAUAGAAGAUAACGACGACGGAUCAUGAUGAUCCACAGCUAAAAGAGAUGUAAUUGUCGUCCCAAACAAUUUUAUCUCCGUAUCUUUAGAUUUCGACAUACUAAUUUUCCAACUUAACAAUUAAACCAAUUCCUCUAAAAAUUAUUGUUUACUCGUUUUUUUAUUAGAUCAGAGAAAAAGGAGAGAAUACAAGGGGCUGAGCUUGGUUGGUAUGAAUGACGAUAGUGCAUAGAAGAGAGAGAGAGAGAGGGGGAGAGUCAGAGAGAGACUUGUUAAGUUUUAAGAGCCAC